rnacentral:rRNA from 1 species
ACACAUGCAGUCGAGCGGUAACAUUUCAAAAGCUUGCUUUUGAGAUGACGAGCGGCGGACGGGUGAGUAAUGCCUAGGAAAUUGCCCUGAUGUGGGGGANAACCAUUGGAAACGAUGGCUAAUACCGCAUGAUGCCUACGGGCCAAAGAGGGGGACCUUCGGGCCUCUCGCGUCAGGAUAUGCCUAGGUGGGAUUAGCUAGUUGGUGAGGUAAUGGCUCACCAAGGCGACGAUCCCUAGCUGGUCUGAGAGGAUGAUCAGCCACACUGGAACUGAGACANANUCCAGACUCCUACGGGAGGCAGCAGUGGGGAAUAUUGCACAAUGGGCGCAAGCCU